rnacentral:tRNA from 1 species
GCCUUCGUGGUGUAGUGGUCAGCUCACUCGAUGCGUAACUGAGAUGUCCGUGGUUCGAUUCCCGGCGAAGGUG